rnacentral:ncRNA from 14 species
CAUCAUCGUCUCAAAUGAGUCU